AGUAGGGUAGGGAUAUGUUGGUAGUACCUGUUCAGGGUUAAAUAAGAUGAAUUUAGACAUCAAGUCCAUCUCAAUGCAAAUUGAUGUGUCUUAGAAUAGUGGUCAGUGUGGUGAAUGGAACAGCUGGCUCAAAUGGCAGUACCUGCAUGGGCACAUUGGUUGCGUACACGUUUGCAUACACAUUUUUUUGCUACUGGUUGAAGGCAGAGUUAUCCAAUCCCUGGCUUGGGUUGGGUUGGGUUAUCUGAAGAGUGGCUGGGUAAGAGAAGAUGCAAAGUCAUCCCAAACGAAAUAGCAGCACCAGUUACAUUGCCAAUAAUAUGUACAAGUAGGAUACCACUUAUUUCUAUUGUAGGACUUUGGCUCAAGAUAUACAAACAAUGAUCACUGUUAACUUGUCAUUCAUUGUGCAAGUAGGAGUGAAACUGUAUUUAGUGAUGUAAGGGGCAGAGUUCCAUUCUCUCAGUGGUACAGUGUGAGCGGUAGGCCUACCUGUGCUGGCUGAUAGGUGUGUCUCUCUUUCUGCAGAAGCACACAGCGUGGACCAAUACUAGAGCCAAGACAGCUGCCGCUAUGACAACCACAAUAGCAAUGAUUCCGCCUGCAGGAAGAUAAAAGAGCCUCUCAAUACGAGGGUUGCACGGAACCCUUCCACAUCGAUUAACUGUUGGGGGUGCCGUCCUGCAGGAAGGUGUCAUCUGGACAGUGAGCGGAGGAGCCCGUGCAGUACUCUGGGAGGUCACACUCAUCCACCUGGGCCCUGCACUGCUUGGUGAACUGGAUGAACUGCAGUGAAACCAAGAGAACAGAUGUGAUGCCUAUGAAUAAAUAACAAGUAUAAGUUAUAUUGUCAGGAAGGCCGGUCAACACUAUGGGGGAGAGAAUGCCAGGAUAUGCUGUGUGACACACCCAAGGAUAGGCAGAACAAGGGGCUGGACAGAAGACCACUCCGGCUCCCAGGAUUGUGUACGGAGGAAUGGACAUUUUAUACAGGAGAAAUUCAUGAAGUGAAAUUCAUGAAGUGAAAGGCCACCUCCACAUCCGCAGUGUCGUCACUGCCCUGGUGUGUUCCUCCCAGGCGGCUGUGUGAGAGUGAUAGGGUAGUCUAAGGACAGGCCCUCUCCAAAGCUGGUUUCCCAGCAAAGGGAGAAAAACAAAUAUUGCACUCGAAAAUGGUCAGAUGUACAAGUGGAAAUUCCAUUUUUGUGGAAUUUUGUUCAUGGCCUGGCUUCUGGAGAAGCUGACGAAGUGCUUAGGCCUAUCCCAUAAUCCCUCAUCACCUAUUAUCAGGAAAUGAAGUUACUAUCUGAAUCUCUGUUGAAAAGUUGUCUCAUAGAAAACGUAUGCAUCGAAAGGUGCUUGCACUGCCCAGAUAAAAAACACUUACCUCUCCACACUUCAGACAGCAGUUGAACAUAGAAACUUUUGGACAUGUCAAACUCAAACGACUCCAUCCAACAAACACAGGACUGAUAGUGCACAUUGUUGGUGUUUGGAGUUUGUUGCCAUUUGUUGAUGAGGCAUGCGAGCAGCACAUAAAGACAGUGAUUGAUUUGAGAGUACGUGAGUGAAGUAGGUUUGCCCUGGAGUUCCAGUUGAAAGGCUAUCAUUCAAUCACAGGUGGAGCGCCACUUGGCACAGCUUGAGCUCUGUAAUCACAUCCUGCAUCUUUACCACAUUGGCAUAUCACCUCUGGCUGUGACUGAUGCCUGUGUAAUGUCCGUAUGAGAAUGAUCUACUCGCCUCAGAGUUCACUGUUUAAAAGGGUGGCACCAGGCUAUCCUACUGGGUAGGCCUAUACUAGCAAUGCACAAAAACAAUAAAGAAUAUAAAGAUUAAAAACAAUAAACAAUAAAGAAUAGUUUUCACAAGCUUGCAUAACAAUAUGCCUAUAUGUAGCCUAAUUUUUUCUGUUACUUCUGAGAUAUUAACACUAAAAAGUUCUGAAUGUCCCACCAUAACCCAAUUUACGUAACUGUCCCUAAAAAGAGGCAGGGCUUUAAAAUAUUUAGCCUACUGCUGCUAAAAUAUUCACUGGCUCUGGGUGGGGAGCUCAUCAUCAGAUGUGCAACAUGCUGAAACACGUUUUAGCGCAUUUUUGGAAUAAAAGUAGGAAAAUCUCAAAAGUGAAGCUGAAUAUUUAUGGAUUUAAAUUAUGUAGAACUGCUGUUAUUAUGUGAACCUAUAGCCUAUAUUUUAUUUCACUCCUGUACAGAUGUAGCCUACUAAUUGAAAUGAUAGAGGGUAAUCAAGGUUGAUCUUUUAAAAAGACAUAGGUUUAUCUAUGAUGGUAUCUGAGUAAAGCUUAGUUAUUAUUAUGUGACCGUUGGUUGCUGGGUUUCACAUUGCGUUUGCAAUGAACUCUAUUAACACUCCAGUCGGGCUGAAAUGGGCGGUGUUAGCAUGAGAGCGCCGCAGUAGCAGAUGAUGUCACUAUGGCAAGCCAUUUUAACAUUUACCCGCUAGACUGGAUAUGUAUUGCAGAUAUAUUUGCCUAGUCAAAACGAACAUUUUAGAUAUCCGCAAUUGAAUUCUUCCUAUCCAUAAUUGUCAUUUUAGAUAUCCAAAAAGACAUUUUUCCUAGGACAAAUGACGCCACAUUUGCCAUUCAUUUCAAUGGGGUUUAUCAUUACAGAUAUCUACAAUUCAGUUGCAGAUAUCCACUAUGUGAAUUACGGAUCUCUGCAAUUGAAUUGUAGAUCUCUGUAAUUCCAGUUAGAGAUAUCUACAAUUUGAUUCUGACUAGUCAUAACUCCAGUUGAAGAUAUCUUUAAUUCACCUCAAUUCAAGAUAUCUACAUGUUCCUUUUCAGAUAUCUUGAAUUAAGUUUUGAUCUUGAAUUUUAAGUUUUCAAAAUGACGUUGUAGAUAUCUCAAACUGGAGUUAGGGAUAGUCAUAAUUUGAUUGUAGAUAUCUAUUAUCAAGUUAUAGAUAUCUUGAAUGAGUUUUGAUUAGAGAUAUCUGAAAUUGGAGAUAUCUAUAACUUUCAUUCUGCCUAUAGCAAAAUGUAAUUAUAGAUAUCUUGAAUUAGAGUUUUGACUAGGCGAAAUGACGUUAGAGAUAUCUGUAUUGCUAUGCAAAUUAGGCCCGCAUCCCACUUUAGGCGGGAGCAGAGCGUGUUGUUGUUCAAAUCAUCAAAUCACAUAGCACCUGUUAACUGUUAACUUUGUAAUUAGCACUACUUAGCACCAUGUCAGAGCAGCCAGAGGGCGAAGGAGUUUUUAAUCGUCUUUUUAAUGCUGCAGCCUAUGCAAGACAGGAGCUGGCAGCAAGAAUUAAUGAUUCAAUGUUGCUUUGAUUUUUUCGAUUACAGCCAACACCAUUAUUAAUGGAGUUUCCUGUAGAUGGUACUAGUGCAUUUAGUAGCCUAGGCCUACUAAUUUAUGUAGGCUACGAAACAGAGAUCAAGCCAGUUAAUAACGUGAGAGUCUAAUAAACCACACGGUGUCCGAGUUUUAGUUAUUUUAGAUGUCAACAAGACAUUACAGCCAUGACUGCUUCUUCUUCUUCCAUUCAUAGAAAUAAGGAAAUAAGCCCACUUCUUCUUCGAUUAUGUUGGGGAGGGGAAACAUAACCCAACUCUGCCUACGGACAGAGAAUGUCUAAUAAGUAGACGGGCUCUGCUACGGAUCUAAAGAGCAACGUCUUGCACAAUAAUUUGCACUAGUCAUAAUGACGUUUGAGAUAUCUUCACUUUUACUCUGCCUAGUCAAAACUGAAUUAAAGAUAUCUGCAAUUGUCAUUUAAGAUGUGUUAUGAGUUGAAUGUUGUUUUCAAUGACGUGAUGACAGAUAUCUGUAAUUCAGUUUUGCCUAGUGAAAACUAAAUUACAGAUAUCUCUAUCUGACGUUUCGACUAGUCACAAUUACGUUACAGAUAUCUUGAAUGACAAUUCCAACUAUCAAAAAUGUAAUUGUGAAUAUAGUCAGAAAGACGUUGUUGAUAUUUACAAUGUUAAUUCCGCAUAGUCAAACCAAAGUCCUUUUAGGCAAGUCCCUCCACUCGGCGGCCAUUUGACAACGCUUAUUGGGCA